GAGACUGGGUGCUUCGGCGCCCGACCUCCAACCCUUUGUCUACCUUACCACUGUUGCCUCGGCGCACGCGGGAGCAAUCCUGCAGCGCCGGUGGCCAAAAACACUAAACCCUUUUGAACCCAGUUUUCUGAGAAAUUAUUUAAUAACUUCAAAACUUUCAACAACGGAUCUCUUGGUUCU
rnacentral:misc_RNA from 1 species